ACAAUUAAAAUUUAGAGACUUUGUGUGUCAGUACAAGAAGAUAACUCUUAAUUUGGAAGAAGUCACAACAGAAGUACACCUGAUUCAGAAUUAAUGAAAUCAUUGUUGGAGAGGAUGCUGCAUCUGUUGAGGCCCACGUUAAGGUAAUACAUGACCAGUAUAGGAAGACACAACCUGAUUUGUUGACCAUGAAGGACCGCAUGAAGAAGACCUUUGCAUGGUGGCAUCGAGAAAUAGCAGAAUGAAUGGCUAUUGAAAACAUCUUGACCAAAUACCCCUUUUUAAGAACAAUUUGUGUGAUUAGGUUGAUUCAAUCCAUCCUUUGAUGGUGAACAUAUGUUGG